GAUGAACGCUGGCGGCGUGCCUAAUACAUGCAAGUCGAGCGAACAGACGAGAGUGCUUGCCCUCUCUGACGUUAGCGGCGGACGGGCGAGUAACACGUGGGUAACCUACCUAUAAGACUGGGAUAACUUCGGGAAACCGGAGCUAAUACCGGAUAAUAUUUAGCUUCGCAUGAAGCAAUAGUGAAAGACGGUUCUGCUGUCACUUAUAGAUGGACCCGCGGUGUAUUAGCUAGUUGGUGAGGUAACGGCUCACCAAGGCAACGAUACAUAGCCGACCUGAGAGGGUGAUCGGCCACACUGGGACUGAGACACGGCCCAGACUCCUACGGGAGGCAGCAGUAGGGAAUCUUCCGCAAUGGACGAAAGUCUGACGGAGCAAUGCCGCGUGAGUGAAGAAGGUUUUCGGAUCGUAAAACUCUGUUGUAAGGGAAGAACAAGUACGUUAGUAACUGAACGUACCUUGACGGUACCUUACCAGAAAGCCACGGCUAACUACGUG
rnacentral:rRNA from 1 species